CGUGAGGGAAAGGUGAAAAGAACCCCGGGAGGGGAGUGAAAUAGAACCUGAAACCGUGUGCCUACAACCGCUCAGAGCCCCUUAUGAGGGUGAUGAGGUGCUUUUUGUAGAACGAGCCAACGAGUUACGGUAUGUAGCAAGGUUAAGUACUUAAGGUACGGAGCCGAAGGGAAACCGAGUCUGAAUAGGGCGACUAGUUGCAUGCCGUAGACCCGAAACCGGGUGACCUAUCCAUGGCCAGGUUGAAGCGAGGGUAAAACCUCGUGGAGGACCGAACCACGUUGCUGUUGAAAAAGCAUGGGAUGAGCUGUGGAUAGCGGAGAAAUUCCAAUCGAACCCGGAGAUAGCUGGUUCUCUCCGAAAUAGCUUUAGGGCUAGCGUCGAGUAUGAGUAGUGGAGGUAGAGCACUGAAUGGGCUAGGGGGCAUAGCGCUUACCGAACCUUAUCAAACUCCGAAUGCCACAUACUUUGAGCUCGGCAGUCAGACUACGAAUGAUAAGAUCCGUGGUCAAAAGGGAAACAGCCCAGAUCGUCAGCUAAGGUCCCAAAGUGUAAGUUAAGUGGGAAAGGAUGUGAGAUUUCUAAGACAACUAGGAUGUUGGCUUAGAAGCAGCCAUUCAUUAAAAGAGUGCGUAAUAGCUCACUAGUCGAGAGAUCUUGCGCCGAAAAUGUAACGGGGCUAAACUUACC
rnacentral:rRNA from 1 species